rnacentral:rRNA from 1 species
GUGUCAGCAGCCGCGGUAAUACGAAGGGUGCAAGCGUUAAUCGGAAUUACUGGGCGUAAAGGGAGCGUAGGCGGCUUUUUAAGUCGGAUGUGAAAUCCCCGGGCUUAACCUGGGAAUGGCAUCCGAUACUGGGGAGCUAGAGUUUGGGAGAGGGUGAUGGAAUUCCCGGUGUAGCGGUGAAAUGCGUAGAGAUCGGGAGGAACAUCAGUGGCGAAGGCGGUCACCUGGCCUAAAACUGACGCUGAAGCUCGAAAGCGUGGGGAGCAAACAGGAUUAGAAACCCGCGUAGUCC